rnacentral:rRNA from 1 species
GACGAACGCUGGCGGCGUGCUUAACACAUGCAAGUCGAACGGAAAGGCCCCUUUUUGGGGACUCGCGUGGCUAGCGGGCGAGUAACACGUGCGUAACCUGCCCUCGACUUCGGGAGAAAUUCAUGAAACUGGGGCUAAUACCUGCUAGGAAUCCUUUCUGCAUGGAGGGGGGGGGAAAGCUUCGGCUGUUUUGGAUGGACUCGCUGCCUAUCUGCCUGUUUGUGGGGUAGUGGGUUAACAAGGGCUUGACUGGUAGCCGGCCUGAGGGGGCGGACGGCCAAAUUGGGAAUGGGAUUCGGCCCAGACUCCUACGGGGGGCAGCAGUGGGGAAUAAUGCAAAAUGGGCGGAAGCCUGAUGCAGCAACGCCGCGUGCGGGAUGACGGGCUUCGGGUUGGAAACCGCCUUCAGCAGGGGAGAAGCUUGUGGUGACGGUACCUGCAGAAGAAGCACCGGCUAACUACGUG